UACGUAGGGUGCGAGCGUUGUCCGGAAUUAUUGGGCGUAAAGAGCUCGUAGGCGGUGUGUCGCGUCGGCCGUGAAAACCUGGGGCUCAACUCUGGGCGUGCGGUCGAUACGGGCAUCACUGGAGUUCGGCAGGGGAGACUGGAAUUCCUGGUGUAGCGGUGAAAUGCGCAGAUAUCAGGAGGAACACCGGUGGCGAAGGCGGGUCUCUGGGCCGAUACUGACGCUGAGGUGCGAAAGCGUGGGGAGCAAACAGG
rnacentral:rRNA from 1 species